rnacentral:pre_miRNA from 1 species
UUGGAAAAUUUGCCAAAUCAGGGAAGCGAAAGGUGUUUGCAGGCAGCAGAGUUUUGAGGGUAGUUUUCAUCAUCUCAUCACUCUACUCCCAGAUUAUUCGCUUCCCUAAUUUGGACGAUUUUACUUGCGUUCCUU